UGUCACUACCCGAUGUGAGUCGCCUACCCGAUGUGAGUCUGACAUGCGCAGUAGCGUUCUCGAUCGUCCGCCAUCUUGGACGGAUAUCUACGGCAACACCGCUUGGACAAACUACUGCUACCAUAGUCAGCUCCAUGCUUACCUGCAAUCGGGACAGUUUAAUCCCAGUUGUGGAAAAGCUGUGAAGUGGAAGAUUACUCGUUCUCAGAGUAAUUACAUCUUGAAAGAUGGCAGACUGUUCUACACUGGCCCAAACAAACUGUACAUGCGGCUGGUGGUUAUGUCUGAGGAGGAAAAGAGCGCUGC